rnacentral:lncRNA from 1 species
CAGACCUGGUCAUUAUGACGUCCUAUACAAGGCUGACAUAGCCAAUGGGGCUCCAGAUGACGUCUCUGCUCAGUCUUAGGUUCUUGCCAUUUGGAGAUGACUUCAGUGAAUUUGGUGGCUGAGGCUACUGCUGAGGUCAGCGCUGGUGCUGCUGAGGUCAGCGCUGGUGCUGCUGAGGUCAGCGCUGGUGCUGCUGAGGUCAGCGCUGGUGCUGCUGAGGUCACCGCUGGUGCUGCUGAGGUCACCACUGGUGCUGCUGAGGUCAGCGCUGGUGCUGCUGCUUUGGGUGGCGACUUUCAUCGUUGUUAAAAAUUUUGAGAAUUUUUAGUGUAAAUUGUGCGGCUGGUUUUGUCUGUUCUCAUUUGACAAGAUUUUCAUCUGCUAGAAGCCUCUGUGCGCCAGGCUGCGCUUGUCUCUCUAAUUGUUUAGUAUGCGUGAAUGCAUAUUUUCAUAUUCAUUCCUGAUUAGGAAUCAUUGCCAUGCUAGUAUUUAUAUACAUUAGAAUUGAUCAAAUUUCUCUCCAAUAUACUCAUCUAAUAUUACUUUCUCAUCAGAAAUUUGUAUAAAAAUAUGCUGAGUAAAAAUAACUUUCUGCUAAUCAAGAGAACCGCUUAUUUCAUGAGCGCCUUUAGCCACAAGAAAUAGGCGACUGGUGGUCCUUAUGUAUUCCAUGCAUGAUCUUUUAGCUCCUAGAUAAUUUAUUUAUUGCAAAAUCAUUUUCAUUAAUUCAUCGGUAAAUACGUGCGACGUGUUCUUUAAGAAAUAUUUGCGCAUGUUCAUUAUUCACUCCUGAAAUUUGAUUUAGUUUGGUUCAAGUUCUAAUAAAGUUAAGUUUA